AAGAAGUACCUCCCACAUAUAUUUUCACAACAAUAAUUCGCGUAACAUAACAAAACGAGUAUUGCAUCAAUUAUAUUUUGAACUUACAACAUUUACGCGAGCACCAUUGAAGCUUGAUUCUAAAAGGUGGGGUUUUACUUGAACUCACAACAUUUACGCGAGCACCAUUGAAGCUCAAUUUCUAAAAGGUGGGGUUUUAGCCGUGCAUACUGAUGAUAUACUACAUGAUUUGGUGGUGCAGACAUUAGUUGGAACAAGGGUACUCUCUUUAACAACAAGUUCUACCAAUCACUCCAUGGCUCAACACAUUCUUCUAACAAGCCCUUGGGUAGUCCACUCAGACUCCAUAGUGGGAUAAAUCCCUCUUUACAUGCUUCAAAUUCGCGGAUUAUGGUAUCAAAGUUACCAAUCUUGAGAAUCAUACUUAGAGAGGAAAUUAGCUCCCUAUCUUGAGCCAUAUCGCACGAUCUGGAAUGUUAAAGAAGGGUGAAAUUCCUAAAUGUCAAAAUAGCCUCCAACUUAUAGAUGUGGUCGACAACACACCGAUAAGAAGGACUCU
rnacentral:lncRNA from 1 species